UGGGGAAUAUUGGACAAUGGGGGCAACCCUGAUCCAGCAAUGCCGCGUGUGUGAAGAAGGUCUUCGGAUUGUAAAGCACUUUCGACGGGGACGAUGAUGACGGUACCCGUAGAAGAAGCCCCGGCUAACUUCGUGCCAGCAGCCGCGGUAAUACGAAGGGGGCUAGCGUUGCUCGGAAUGACUGGGCGUAAAGGGCGUGUAGGCGGUUUACACAGUCAGAUGUGAAAUCCCCGGGCUUAACCUGGGAGCUGCAUUUGAUACGUGUAGACUAGAGUGUGAGAGAGGGUUUGUGGAAUUCCCAGUGUAGAGGUGAAA
rnacentral:rRNA from 1 species